ACUUUGGUAUCACUAUGUCUAGCACAGAUUAGUGCCCUGUGAAUGUUGUUUGAAUGAGUGAAUACAUAAAUGAUCCGUCCUUGUGAAAUUUUACCAAGUUUAAAAUAUAUAUACUUGUGCUUGCCUUGGUAGCGCAUAUACUAAAGCUGGAAUGAUACAGAGAAGUUUAGCAUGGCCCCUGAACAAGGAUGACAUUCAAAUUCGUGAAGCAUUCCAUUUUUUAAAUAAAUUCUGGAGAUCUAUUGUAUAGCAUGGUAACUAUAAUUAGCAUUAAUGUAUUAAUUAUAUACUUGAAAAUUGGUAAAAGAGUAGAUCUUAAGUGGUCUCACUGCAAAAAAAUUGAUAAGUAUGAGAGAAAAUGAAUAUAUUAAUUCACUUAUUUUAAUCAUUUCACAAUGUAUACAUGUAAAUCAAAAUAUCACUU
rnacentral:lncRNA from 1 species